AGAUGCGAUCUGUUGAUUAGCAUUAUACCGCGAACUGCGAAUGGCUCAUUAAAUCAGUUAUCGUUUAUUUGAUAGUACCUUACUACAUGGAUACCCGUGGUAAUUCUAGAGCUAAUACAUGCUAUAAAUCCUCCGAACUUGUCUAGAGGAGUAUUUAUUAGAUACAAAACCAAUGCCCUUCUGGGCUCUUUGGUGAUUCAUGAUAACUUGUCGGAUCGCAUAGCCUUGUGCUGGCGAUGGUUCAUUCAAAUUUCUGCCCUAUCAACUUUCGAUGGCUGGGUCUUGGCCAGCCAUGGUGACAACGGGUAACGGAGGGUUAGGGCUCGACCCCGGAGAAGGAGCCUGAGACACGGCUACUACAUCCAAGGAAGGCAGCAGGCGCGCAAAUUACCCAUUCUCAAAACGAGGAGGUAGUGACAAUACGUACUGAUACAGGGCUCUUUUGGGUCUUGUAAUUGGAAUGAGUACAAUUUAAAUCCCUUAACGAGGAGCAAUUCGAGGGCAAGUCUGGUGCCAGCAGCCGCGGUAAUUCCAGCUCGAUUAGCGUAUAUUAAAGUUGUUGAGGUUAAAAAGCUCGUAGUUGAAACUUGGGUCUGGCUGGCUGGUCCGCCUCACCGCGUGCACUGGUCUGGCCGGGUCUUUCCCUCUGGGGAGCCGCAUGCCCUUUACUGGGUGUGUCGGGGAACCAGAAUGUUUACUCUGAAUAAAUCAGAUCGCUUAAAGAGGGCCUAUGCUUGAAUGCUCUAGCAUGGAAUAAUAGAAUAGGACGUUGGUUCUAUUUUGUUGGUUUCUAGGACCGCCGUAAUGAUUAAUAGGGACAGUCGGGGGCAUCCGUAUUCAAUUGUCAGAGGUGAAAUUCUUGGAUUUAUUGAAGACGAACUACUGCGAAAGCAUUUGCCAAGGAUGUUUUCAUUAAUCAGGAACGAAAGUUAGGGGAUCGAAGACGAUCAGAUACCGUCGUAGUCUUAACCAUAAACUAUGCCGAUUAGGGAUCGGACGGUGUUAUUAUUUGACCUGUUCGGCACCUUACGAAAAAUCAAAAUGUUUGGCUCCUGAGCGAAAGGGCCG
rnacentral:rRNA from 1 species